GAUGAACGCUGGCGGCGUGCCUAAUACAUGCAAGUCGAGCGAACGGACGAGAAGCUUGCUUCUCUGAUGUUAGCGGCGGACGGGUGAGUAACACGUGGAUAACCUACCUAUAAGACCGGGAUAACUUCGGGAAACCGGAGCUAAUACCGGAUAAUAUUUUGAACCGCAUGGUUCAAAAGUGAAAGACGGUCUUGCUGUCACUUAUAGAUGGAUCCGCGCUGCAUUAGCUAGUUGGUAAGGUAACGGCUUACCAAGGCAACGAUGCAUAGCCGACCUGAGAGGGUGAUCGGCCACACUGGAACUGAGACACGGUCCAGACUCCUACGGGAGGCAGCAGUAGGGAAUCUUCCGCAAUGGGCGAAAGCCUGACGGAGCAACGCCGCGUGAGUGAUGAAGGUCUUCGGAUCGUAAAACUCUGUUAUUAGGGAAGAACAUAUGUGUAAGUAACUGUGCACAUCUUGACGGUACCUAAUCAGAAAGCCACGGCUAACUACGU
rnacentral:rRNA from 1 species